ACGGGCUAGGGUUUGGGCAUAGGGAAACACCGAGGUUGGGAUUUAGGGGAGAGCUGGGGUAUGGUUCUGAUGUGGCGAUAGGGUUGGGGUUAGCGAAACGUCAGAUCUGGAGAUGGGUUCAGGGGUGAGGUGGGGCAGACACAAGUUAGCUUGAGGCGCAGUUUGGGGUCAGGUCAGGUUGGGUCAGGGUCAGGGUCAGGCUGACAUGUUAAGGUUAGGUGCGCCUGGAACCUGUUGAGGGUCUUGGGGAUCUGGUUGUCUGCCCUGUGGCGUCCCUGCCCUCUUCGGUGGGGUGCUCUCAGCCAUGGCCUUGGCUGGAGACCAGGUGCUAUGGCCCUCAUGGUGGCAGGACCCCCUCUGGCCUCUGAGCCCAGGCUGGGGCCAGAAGAAGCAGCGUUCUGCAGCUGAGCCCUGAACUCAGGAGCCUGGGUAUCAGCUGAAGCAGGGGCCCCAUUUCACACGGAACAGAGCCUGGGUUUGGGGCUACACCCUGCCAGUGAAUGCAGUCCCCUGCCCCACCGGCUGGCUACCUGGCCUCCUGCCCGGGCCUCCUCUCUUACCCAGGAUGCUUGUCUUGGGACCUUGGCUUCUUUGAGCCACUGCUGGCUGAGGGUGGGGGGCUUCAUAGGGUGAGUUCUAGCCCCUCUCCUGACAACCCUCACUCCCAGGCCCUGGUGGGGAAACCGGGCCUGCUCUCCACUUGGCCUUCACCACAGUGGUACCCGGAAGGCCUGGCUGUCUCACCUUGUCAUGAUCCCCCACACAUUUCAGGGCCCAACUUGGGGGCCCAGGAUUAAGGCUGUGUCCGCAGCAUAUGCCCCCAACCCAGACUGACCAGGGCCCACGGCCCUCAUAGACGGCCUCUCCCCUGUCCUCCAUUACCCUCCCUGAGUCUAGCCUCCUAAAGAGCUAGCCUCCUGAACCUCAGGCCUGGGCUUCCACAGGGGCUGUACUCUGCCACCUGGAAUGAGUUGGAGUCUGGGGGCCCUAGCGGUGGGCUGGUGGUCCUGGUCUGGGCCAGAGACCUCCGGGCUUCCCUGGGCGUGGCUCCUGUCUCAGCCGGCUGCACCCAGGCGUGGCCCUGGUCGGCAGGGUGAGGGGCUGCCUCUGCUGCACCGCAGAUCCCUUGGGGUGGGUCUGGCUCAGGAGGCAAGGGGUACCUGGCUGGGUGUGUCUGAGUGUGACUCAGGCUGGAUGCCGGGGACUUGAGCUGGUGGCUUUGUUCUCCCACUAGCCGGGUAGGGUGCAUGCUGCAGCCCUGAAUCACCAGGGUGUGGCCCAGCCGGCCUGGCGGCACCCCAGACACACACACACACACACACACACACACACACACACACACACAGAGCCACAUGCACAGCCAGCGCUGAGGCCAGGACUCGGCAACCUGGGGCACAGUGGUGCUGUGAGCACUUUCCAAGGUGUUCCUCGGUGACCAACGGCUCUGUGACCUCCAAUUAGAGGCUUAGAGGAGCUGGAACAGGGUUUGGGCCCCACAGACACAACCAGACCCUGAGGGGGUGCUGACCCUUCCCCCAGCUGCCCGAUAAAGGCCACUAUGCACUCCUCUCCAAAGUGUCAACCCACGGGACCCCGAAAACAACUCUGAGAGGAGGAAACUAUCAUUCCCACUACAGAUGAAGGACCUGGGGCUUAGAGAUGCUAGUGAGUGGCCAGCCUGCCUUCAACCUCCUUGCCACGUGUGCGGGUACUGCGGUAGCGGCCUGCCCCCCCCCCCCCCCCCCGGCCUCUGCUUCAGGGUAGCUCAUCACUGGGACCCCCUCAACAGCCCCUCUCACUCAGAGUCAGGCAGGCGUCCCAUAGGGUUAGGGCGAGGAAGCAGCCCCUCCCAGCCACUGGGCCUGGGUCCCAGGCCCUUCUAGACCUCUGAGGAUGGAGACAGACACGGACCUGCUGGAGUCCUGGACCGUCCCCAUCUGUCUUCUCUGGGGGAAGGGGUAGGAGGGCCAGCUCCCUCUUUGGGGAGCCAGGCUUCACUGUUCCCGGGGAAGGACAGGAAGUGUGGCUUCUACAUGACCGCCAGCCUUCCCCACAAGUGUGUGUAUGUUCCUGUGUGAAUGUGAGGGGGCAGGAGAGCCCACGGGUCCUGUUUCCAGGCCAGGCUUGGGGCUCAGAGACUACCUGUAGGUUAGUGGAUGUUCUCCAACAGACCAGGGGCUGCCUGGGUAGCUGGUUACCGGGGUGCCAUCGGGUAGGUGAACAGGGUGCAGUUCAAAGAGCUGGCCUCACCCCCCCUCCACCCACAACCCCACCUGGUUCUUUGUCAGAAGCUGUUCGAGGGAGAGGAGAAAGCACCUUAUAAGGUAACAAAUGCUGUCCGCCAGGUGAGAGGAGAGGUACCUCCCUGCCUCCAGGCCUCCCCGCCCUACCCAGGCAGGACAGCAGCUUAGGCUGGGGUGGUAUCCCAGUUCUGGCCCUGUGCCUUACAGUGUCCCCCUGCCCCCACCUCCUUACCUCAGGGGGCAUCUGCUACCAGCCCAGACUCAGGUGAGGGCCUCUGGCAUGGGGAGGCCUAGCCCGCCCCCCGGGGAGGCAGAAGAGGCAGCUAGAGCUCAGAGAGGCUGCUGUAUGACCUUUGGCUAAGUGACUGCUCCUUUCUGAGCCUGUUUUCUCUUCUGUGCAGUGAGGGGGUGAGCUAGGGGUGUGAAGUCACAUGAGGAUCUUAAGCCCUACGGAGGGUCCCUUCACUUAUAGACGCUUGAUAAGACCGGGCCAUGCCAGCCACUUUCCCCAAGCCCAGGAUCCUCCUUUCCUGCACUGUUUGGCUCCCUAGGCAAAGGCCUACCCUCUCUGUUCCAAGGAAGCUGGGGUUCCCGGGGCAGUUCUGGUCAGUUCUCCAGGUGACGUGGCCUACCUCAGUUUGCCUGUUUGCCAGCAAUGGGGUCCAGUGGAGACAGCCCAAAGAAGCAGGCGCUCUCUCUCUCUCCACAGACCUGCCUUCCUGCCUGUAAUACUUGUCUUAGAAGCUGACCUUCCCCAGAAGCCCCCACCCCGCCCCAGCCCUCGGGUGCAAUGUGUUUUGUAUCCUUCCAUGGCGAUGGUCAUCCUGUGUGUGCCCCGUCUUGGAAUUUCGCCCUGGAGAUAAAAGCACUGACUCGAAAUUUCUACAUUUUACAAGCAUUGUUGAAUUUGACCCUGGUAACAGCCCUCUGCCAGGACACGUGGUGGUGAGUUUAUCAGAGAGGUUUGACCUCAUGGUAGGGACAGGGCCGGGCCUGGAGUCAGUCCAUGCUCUAGCCAUGGACCCCCUGUGGGCACAGUGAAGGAAGGGAGCGUGUCUUCCUGUUGGUCCUAGAAAUUUCAGAGCUGGGAGUGUCCUUGGAUGCUAUCUAAUCCAACCCCUCACCGUGGACCUUGGGCAACUGAGCCCCAGAGCUGGGACUAGAGCCCAGGGCUUCUGACCCCCAGUCCUGCCUGUUUCCUGGGGGAGCCUUCUCCCUCUUUGUCCGUCUAGCCCUGGGCCUUGCGGGGCGCUAGGUUCUGCUUGGAGCUUCCCAGCACAGUGAUUGCACAGAGCUUUUUCAGGGAGCUGACGAAGCAACUUCUGUGUGAAGGAAACCAGGCCAAACACGCCACGUCUCAGCCGCUCUGAUUUCUGCCUCUGUAGGAGGGUGAGGUGCUCAUGGAAUCAAGACAGAGAAAAAACUCCAGAGAGGGGACAUGACUUGCCCAAGGUCCCGCAGCGAGCACACGGCCAAUCACGACAGAGGGGCCUUCGGCACAACCGGAGACCCUGAGCCCGAUCCCGGCCGGACGCCAGAAGCCCCUUGAGGACAAGGACUCCAUUUUACCCUUUAUGCCCUCCUCCCUCCCUAC